CGGUCAGCAGAGCAGCGAGCCCUGGACCCCACCCCAUUUCGCCAUUCCCCACCCUCCACCGCGAUGGCCUCGCCGGAGCAGCCCAGCGCCAAGCGUAUCGCCGCCCCGGCGCCGCCGCCCCCACUUUCGCGCCUCAACGACGACCUCCUCGCGGAGAUCUUCCUCCGCCUGCCCGCCCUCGCCGACGUCGGGCGCGCCGCCACCGCCUGCUCCGCCUUCCGCCGCGUCGUCGCCGACCGCUCCUUCCUCCGCCGCCUUCGCUCCGCCCACGCAUCGCCCCUCCUCGGCUUGCUGCUCCUCUCAUCCAUCCACCCCGCCGAGCCGCCCCACUCCAACGCGCCCUUCGCGCGAGCCCUGCGGCGGACCGCCGACCUCUCCUUCUCCUUCGUCCCCUCCGCCGGCGCCGGCCGCUGGAUCCCGGUCGACGCCCGCGACGGCCGCGUCCUCCUCGAGCGCGAGGCCAUGAGCGGCGACUUCGCGGUGUGCGACCCUUUGUCCCGGCGGUACCUCUUGCUCCCCCAGAUCCCCGGCCGCCCAACCGCGCAGCGCCGCGGGCGUCUGGAGCCGUUCCUCGUCCCCGCCGAUGACGAGGAUGCGGAGACGUUGUUCAGGGUGGUCUGCGUGGUCGAGUGCAAGCCUGGACAGCUGGUCGCCUUCGUCUUCUCUUCGGCCACCGGACAAUGGGAAAGUCUGACCGUGGACGCCAGCGUGCAGCCCUCUUGCAAAUUUUCAUGGUCCUCCUACGCUUGUGGCUGCUUCUACUGGAAUGUGAUUGGGACUAACAAAUUUAUUGUGCUCGACCCGCGCUCGAUGGAGUUCUCGUCUGUCAGCAUCCCGUCUGGUCACGGCCAGCAGGAUUCUGUAAUUGUGGAGGCAGGGGAAGGCAGCAUUGGGAUGUUCACUGUUUACAACAGCAUUAUUUCUGCCGCGUCUUACCUCGUUUAUACUGUUCGUGAAAUUGACCAAGAAGGCAACAACGUGUGGCAGUUUAAGAAGAGGGUCAGGUUGCCAUCCCAAUACAUUUUCAGCUUUGCAGAUGCAAUGGAAAGGCACUUACUCCUCCGUGGGAUUCCAUGGAAUUUGCACCUGGGGUUUUCUAAUGAUGAGAGUGACAUAGGAUACUUCUCCGUUGAGUUUCAGUCUAUGCAGAUUGAGAAAAUGUGUGACUUGAAGCAUCUUUUAUAUGCCAAACUGUAUACUGGUUUUCCACCAUCAUUGUGUGUACCGAGUAUAUGAAGUGGUAACUGCAUUCUCAGGAGUACUAAAAAGUAUAUUACAGCAAAAGUUCCACCUUUUUUUGAGACAUUGCUGAUAUCAGUUCCAGAAACGGUAGGAUUGGCAAUAUGUAAUAUUUAUAAGAAAAGGGAACAAUAAUCACUGGAGAGGUCAAGAAGACGACCAUUGCUCAAAAGAGUAUUUUUGGAGUAUAAGAUGUAUUAAUCUGUCCUAUUAUAUAAGUUGAGUAACCACAUUUUGUUAUAGCAAUGGAUUAACAUUGAGCCAUAUAACAUGUGAAACUUGUGGCGCCGGCUCCUGUUCCCCACUCCUUCCUCAUGGACAACACAACAAGGAGUGCUGGUUUCGGUCUUGACAUAGUUUUUCAGCCGGACAGUCAUCAGUGGCUCGCUGUCUGCUUGGCUCAAAUGUGGAACGAAGGUUGAGACUGGCUCUAGAGGAGAGGUGGGUGCCAUAUUUUCGGACGGGCAUGUUCAGAAGAAUGACGUCACAACAGCCAACAAGCAUCCGGAUUAUGAUUUCUUCACAGGGAGGACAUGAUUGCUGUAUCAUUUGUAAACAAGCGCUUGGCACCUGACUUCAGCCUGCUGGAGAACUGCUACGGCACCACAUCGAAACAGAACGGGAAAGCUAUAUUCUACCCGGGUAUUUUCUCCUUCUCCCA